rnacentral:rRNA from 1 species
CUACGGGCUGCUGCAGUGGGGAAUAUUGCACAAUGGGCGCAAGCCUGAUGCAGCCAUGCCGCGUGUAUGAAGAAGGCCUUCGGGUUGUAAAGUACUUUCAGCGGGGAGGAAGGGAGUAAAGUUAAUACCUUUGCUCAUUGACGUUACCCGCAGAAGAAGCACCGGCUAACUCCGUGCCAGCAGCCGCGGUAAUACGGAGGGUGCAAGCGUUAAUCGGAAUUACUGGGCGUAAAGCGCACGCAGGCGGUUUGUUAAGUCAGAUGUGAAAUCCCCGGGCUCAACCUGGGAACUGCAUCUGAUACUGGCAAGCUUGAGUCUCGUAGAGGGGGGUAGAAUUCCAGGUGUAGCGGUGAAAUGCGUAGAGAUCUGGAGGAAUACCGGUGGCGAAGGCGGCCCCCUGGACGAAGACUAACGCUCAGGUGCGAAAGCGUGGGGAGCAAACAGGAUUAGAUACCCCUGUAGUC